rnacentral:rRNA from 1 species
CGGGACGGGUGAGUAACGCGUGGGUAACCUACCCUGUACACACGGAUAACAUACCGAAAGGUAUGCUAAUACGGGAUAAUAUAUUUGAGAGGCAUCUCUUGAAUAUCAAAGGUGAGCCAGUACAGGAUGGACCCGCGUCUGAUUAGCUAGUUGGUAAGGUAACGGCUUACCAAGGCGACGAUCAGUAGCCGACCUGAGAGGGUGAUCGGCCACAUUGGAACUGAGACACAGUCCAA